CUGAUCUUCAUGGUGAUGGUGGUGAAACACAAACAAAACUAGCCCUGCAAUCAAGAACAUCCCAAGAAGCGCCCAGAUCCACUGCGAUAACUUCCUUCUAACCGGGCGCCGGUAGUCGGCCGCCCGCCUCCGCAUCUUUCUCCGAUCCGCUCUCCACAAUUCACAGCCAAAUAAUCAAGAUUUCAAAUCCACGCAUAUCCCAGAUUAACAAUACAAUCAAGAAACGAUAAAAACGUCACCAAAGCUAUAAUAGGAAUGAAGAACUCAUCAACAGCAUCACAUAGGAUAUACACAUAGCAGCCCACAAAUCAAGAAUUAAAAAAUGAGGAGACAAAGGAAUAAUCAAGAAGCAAUAACAAAUAACUGAUAAGCAAUGACCGGAGAAACAGGAANNNNNNNNNUUUCAAUCAAAUAUAACAAGAAAUGUGACGGUGAUCUAGGUUUGAACAGUAUAUGAAUUCAAUCAAAGAUGGGCUCCUCUUGUUUUUGAAUUUGGUG
rnacentral:misc_RNA from 1 species